CCAGUAAAAUGUUGAAUUAUGCUUACAAUAGGACGAAGUAAGAGGAAACUCUAGUGGAUUCCCGUGCAGGUUCUAGCGUGCAAAUCGACAGAGAGAGGGUAAAGAGGCGAAGGAUUAAUCGAAACAGCUAGCAGCUGG
rnacentral:ncRNA from 1 species